AGCCCGCCCGGGUCAUGGUGGUGGGCCGCGGGCUGCUCGGCCGCCGCAGCCUCGCUGCGCUGGGAGCCGCCUGCGCCCGCCGAGGCCUCGGUCCAGCCCUGCUGGGAGUUUUCUGCCACACAGAUUUGCGGAAGAACCUGACCGUGGACGAGGGCACCAUGAGGGUGGAGGUGCUGCCUGCCCUGACCGACAACUACAUGUACCUGGUCAUUGAUGAUGAGACCAAGGAGGCUGCCAUUGUGGAUCCGGUGCAGCCCCAGAAGGUCGUGGACGCGGCGAGAAAGCACGGGGUGAAACUGACCACAGUGCUCACCACCCACCACCACUGGGACCAUGCUGGCGGGAAUGAGAAACUGGUCAAGCUGGAGUCGGGACUGAAGGUGUACGGGGGUGACGACCGUAUCGGGGCCCUGACUCACAAGAUCACUCACCUGUCCACACUGCAGGUGGGGUCUCUGAACGUCAAGUGCCUGGCGACCCCGUGCCACACUUCAGGACACAUUUGUUACUUCGUGAGCAAGCCCAGAGGCUCGGAGCCCCCUGCCGUGUUCACAGGUGCGUGUUCGGGUGUGGGUGGGGGCGGGGGUUCUUCGUGAAGACCCUGUGUCUCCUGCCAGGCAGGCUCACGGUGCAGCUUCGUGGCCUUCUCUGUUGCACCGGUGUGAGGGGGCCCAGGGGUGGGUGCUGGGGAGCCUCAUGGUGGGGCUGGCCGAUUCCUCCCAUGAUGGGUUUGGAUCGUGGUCUGGAAGGAAGUUACGCUUGCAGCAAGGGCUGUGCUGGCGGAGACUGCUGGACAGCUGGGGUCCGGGCGGGUCCCACGGGAAUGGAGUCAGUUUCUUCCAGCAGGGCGAGGGGUGGCUCAGCCCUGGGGCUGUGUUCCUUGAUGCCAUAGUGUGGACUCAGGGACCUGUGCUAGUCUGGGGGCCCUGCCUGCCUCCCAGGGUGGUUGCAGACCUGUGGAGCCACCUGUGGAGGUCAUAUGGCCGGGGGACGGCCUCACUGUAGGCCGGGCCCUUCAUGGCUGCGGCCUUCUAAGGCAGUGUGGAGGCUGCUGGUGGUGGGGGCUGCCUCCCGUGCUUGUUACUGUGGCCUUGUCCCGACUGGCCUCACAGUGCGGGGUUUCACCCGGUGACUCGAUGUGGGCAUCGUACGGCU
rnacentral:sRNA from 1 species